GAAGGCCCAGGGAAAGGUCACAGAAACAGAGCAUGCAGAAUCCAACCAGCACACACUGCUGAUACGGUGGAAUGGACCAGCGAGAGAGAACUUGUAAUUCCACGGGUUCGGCUCUGCUUUGAGGCAGAACUCCUGUUUUCACAGCCUCAAUGACGCAUUGUGCACACAUGCACAGGCUUCAUAUGCGCCAUUCACAGGGCGCCACAAAGGCCAAACGGCGCUUCCAGCCCUGAUCUCAAUUCUCUCUCUCACACACACACACACACACACACACCUCCAAGGCACUUGGCAUGAGCCACUUUUCUGUAGCUCUGCUCUCUGUGGCAGCAACAUAUGGCUCUAAAAGAAGGACUCUGUGCGGCCAUGUGUCUCAGAUUGGAGGAUUACGCGCACACAGGCCUGCAAUGAAUUCGUAAUAAAACAAAGUGGUGGCGUGCACACCCAUAGCUGGCGGAUAAAGGAAUCACAAGGCCAAAUAUCCAGUCCACACGUGUGCACCGAGCACAUGAGGCCAGGAGCCCCCGGACACCGAGAACGGGGCCCGUGGGGAGCUUUUAGGGGGUUUCAAGCUUUAACAAAAAUAGAAAUAGUUUUAAAAAACUGCGAUUGUGCAACGCUUCACAUGAUGAACGUGAGAGUAUGAAUGUGCAUGCAUGCAGAGGUCAAUGCAGGAGGAGAGGCAGGGGGGGGGGGGGGUGGACGUUCGCAAAAAUAAUUACAGUAAAACUGGAAAUGUGUAAUUUCGCUAAAAAUGUAAGUUAGGCAAUUGUAUGUUUUUAUGCAUAUAUUUAUUGCACAAGUUGCAGCACACAACACACACACACACACAAAGUUGUGUGUGUCAUUGCAGUGUUUUUUAGAUUUUAGUAUUCUUUAUGUUCGGCAGGUUGCAUUGUGUUACCAUGACUCCUCGACUUUGGCACAAUAAUUAAUUAAUGUGCAGUUUGAAUAUUGCUCAACUGAGUCUGCACAUUUCAACGCCCAUGAUCUGUUCUAAAACACCACUUGUCCAUGUUAGAGCAUUAGCACGCAGUUUGAUGACUAUCUUUCUGUGUGAACGUCAGCUGCGUGUUAACUGGGCCACACUGGGGCUCCUGCGUGCUGAUCAGUCCAUCUGAAGAAUAAAAUCAACGUCUCUCUCUUUUCCCCCAGGGACCCCUGGAGAGACACUCAGCGGCCUGACAACACGUGGCUUACCGUAGGUCCGAACUCGGGCCAUGUCACUUCGCCUGCGGCUUGAGGGGAUGGGUAGCCUUAGGGGUUGGUUGUUAUCUUUGGUUAUCUAGCUGUAUGAGUGAUGUACAUUCUUCAUAAAGCUAGAUAACCGAAAGUAACAAGAAUCCCAUUACACUCCUGAAAAGGCAUCAAGACCCCAAACGGGCCCCCCUCAAAAAACAAAAACGAAGAACAAACUGCAA